GGGGAAGAAGACCUUUCUCCCCCCUCUCUGCCGCGCCUUCGCCUGCCGCGGCUGUCAACUCGCUCCGGAGCGCGGCGCCGAGCGCAGGGAUACGGCGCCCAGCGGGGUCUCAAGAUUCUGCCCUCCAAGAAAGUCUUGCCAUGAUUGGAUAGGACCCCCAGAUAAAUAUUCAAACCUUCGACCUGUUCACUUUUACAUACCUGAAAAUGAAUCUCCAUUGGAACAAAAGCUUAGAAAAUUAAGACAAGAAACACAAGAAUGGAAUCAACAGUUCUGGGCAAACCAGAAUUUGACUUUUAGUAAGGAAAAAGAAGAAUUUAUUCACUCAAGACUAAAAACUAAAGGCCUGGGCCUGAGAACUGAAUCAGAUGGAGUCUCACUCUGUCACCCAGGCUGGAGUGCAGUGGCACGAUCUCGGCUCACUGCAAACUCUGCCUCCUGGUUCAAGCGAUUCUCCUGCCUCAGCCUUCUGAGUAGCUGGGACUACAGGUCAGAAAGCAACAUUGAAUGCAGAAGAAAUGGCGGACUUCUACAAGGAAUUUUUAAGUAAAAAUUUUCAGAAGCACAUGUAUUAUAACAGAGAUUGGUACAAGCGCAAUUUUGCCAUCACCUUCUUCAUGGGAAAAGUGGCCCUGGAAAGGAUUUGGAACAAGCUUAAACAGAAACAAAAGAAGAGGAGCAACUAGGAGUCCACUCUGACCCAGCCAGAGUCCAGGUUUCCACAGGAAGCAGAUGGAGCUCCUUUCACAGGGGCUCUGAGAAAAACUGGAGCUGAUCUCAAGAAGCCCCACAUCUUCCUAAGGGGCCCCAUGGCCUGUUUGGGGGCAGGGUAGGUCCUGGGGCACUGUGGGCCGCCUGCCUGCUGAUGUGGGCUCUAGGCCAGCUUGUUGUCACGUACGUGGUGUGAAAUAAAGCCCAAGCACUGGGUGCCCGUUUCCUGUGUUUCGAAUUAUACCAAUUCAAAACAGAACUAUUUAAAAAUAUUGGCCAGGCACGGUGGCUCACACCUGUAAUCCCAGCACUUUGGGAGGCCGAGGCGGGUGGAUCACUUGAGAUCAGGAGUUCAAGAUCAGUCUGGACAACAUGGCAAAACCCUGUCUCUACAAAAAAUUAGCUGGGUGUGGUGGCACGCACCUGUAAUCCCAGCUGCUCUGGAGGCUGAGGCAUGCGACGCUUGAACCCAGGAGGCGGAGGUUGCAGUGAUCCAAGAUCGCACCACUGCACUCCAGCCUGGAAGACCAAACGAGACUCUGUAUCAAAAAAUAAUAAUAAUUAAUAAAGUUUUACUGG
rnacentral:lncRNA from 1 species